AUUGAACGCUGGCGGCAGGCCUAACACAUGCAAGUCGAACGAGUGGCGGACGGGUGAGUAAUGUCUGGGAAACUGCCUGAUGGAUGGGGAUAACUACUGGAACCGGUAGCUACUACCGCAUACCAUCAGAUGUGCCCAGAUGGGUUUAGCUUGUUGGUGGGGUAUCGGCUCACCAAGGCGACGAUCCCUAGCUUGCCUGAGAGGAUGACCGGCCAAACUGGUACGGGGACACGGUCCAGACUCCUACGGGAGGCAUCAGUGGGGAAUCUUGCACAAUGGGCGAAAGCCUGAUGCAGCAAUGCCGCGUGUAUUAAGAAGGCCUUCGGGUUGUAAAGUACUUUCGGCGUGGAGGCGUUACCCGCAGAAGAAGCACCGGCUAACUCCGUGCCAGCCGCCGCGGUAAUUC
rnacentral:rRNA from 1 species